rnacentral:lncRNA from 1 species
UGAAAAGGCGAUGAUGGUCAUUAAGUUCAAGAUGGGGAGGGGUUGGGGUGAGGGCUGGCCUGUCUGAGGAGGGGCAUUUGCAGUGCUGGAGCAAGCCAUGGAGGACAGGAAUUGCUCCAGUCAGAGGAACAGCAAGGACAAGGGGCCCAAGACGGCAUGUACUAGAGGCUCCACGCAUAGAAAAAGCCAGCCAUCCCCAGCGCUGUAACUGAGUGGCCAGUGGUGGGAGGUGAGGUCACAGACGCGGAGGGGGCAUACAUGGGUCUUUGUAAUAGUUAAUUUUAUGCAUCAACUUGACUGGAUCACAGUGUGCCCAGAUAUUUGAUCAAACAUUAUUCUGAGUGUUUCCGUGACAAUGUUUUUGGAUACAAUCAACAUUUAUUUAAUUGGUUGAAGACCUGAAUAGAACAAAGAGUUCAAUUCUCUCAAGUAAGAGAAUUCCUCCUGUCUGACUACUUCAGAAUUGGGACAUUGGCUUUUUCCUGCCUCUACACUACAACUACACCAUCAAGCCUUCAGACAUGGAAAGGAACCACACUAUUGGCUCUCCUCGGUCUUCAGCUUGCCAACUCAAUGCAGAUCUUUGCAUUUGUCAGCCUUAUAACCAUGUGAGCUAAUUCCCUAAAAUAAAUGUCCUCAUUUAAAUGUAUUUCCUA